rnacentral:rRNA from 1 species
GAUGAACGCUGGCGGCGUGCCUAAUACAUGCAAGUCGAGCGAACGGACGAGAAGCUUGCUUCUCUGAUGUUAGCGGCGGACGGGUGAGUAACACGUGGAUAACCUACCUAUAAGACUGGGAUAACUUCGGGAAACCGGAGCUAAUACCGGAUAAUAUUUUGAACCGCAUGGUUCAAAAGUGAAAGACGGUCUUGCUGUCACUUAUAGAUGGAUCCGCGCUGCAUUAGCUAGUUGGUAAGGUAACGGCUUACCAAGGCAACGAUGCAUAGCCGACCUGAGAGGGUGAUCGGCCACACUGGAACUGAGACACGGUCCAGACUCCUACGGGAGGAAGCAGUAGGGAAUCUUCCGCAAUGGGCGAAAGCCUGACGGAGCAACGCCGCGUGAGUGAUGAGGGUCUUCGGAUCGUAAAACCCUGUUAUUAGGGAAGAACAUAUGUGUAAGUAACUGUGCACAUCUUGACGGUACCUAAUCAGAAAACCACGGCUAACUACGU